rnacentral:piRNA from 1 species
GACAAGUACUUUGCUUUCUUUCUGAUCUUG